ensembl:lncRNA
CAUCUCCCCAGAGAAGCUUGCGGCCACUCUGGUUGCUAAGAACUUCAGCUCAUCCCAUUUGAGAACAGAGGCUGGGAGAAGGGCAGGAAUUGGGCGUCAAAUAGCAGUUAUGUGAUAUCUGAAUCUGCUUUAUUGAAGAGUUUCACUUUUCUUUCUUUCUUUCUUUCUUUUUUUUGCUUUCUUUUAGGGCCGCAUCCGUGGCAUACAGAAGUUCCCAGGCUAGGGGUUGAAUCGGUUGAGCCCAUCUGCCAUCUCCACCACAGCCUAAGGCAAUACCAGAUCCUCAACCCACCAAGAGAAGCCAGGGAUUGAACCCUCAUCUUCAGGGAUACCAGCCAGGCCACCUGCCCACAACAGAGUAGGCAGAGGGGAGGAGGCUCUUCCAAAUUCUCCAUCCAGAAAAGCAUGCCUCUCCAGAAACCCAUGUCUCUCGGACGCAGGGAGAGUUGACCUGGGAGUCUGUUUCAAGAGUAUUUGGCGCUAUAACUGCAUUUGGUGAACUUCUAUUUGACUGAUUCUCUUACAGAAUGUUUUACUUGGAACGUGUUUCAGAUGUUAGAGGCGCUGGUGCAGAUUCUUCCAGAUAACAGUUGGUCUGAGCCCACCUGCCAAUGGCAUUCGUCUCAUGAAGUCAUCCGCAGCAGGAGAGAACCGAACCAAAAUCAUUUGUGGGACGUGUGGUUCACAGAAUUUUGUGUUCUACUAAGCAUCAUUCUUCACUUAAAAAAAAUUUGUUACUGGGCUGAUGCCAAGCCUUCUGUAGUACUUCCCGGAUACAAAUCAGGUUUUAAUAAAAGCUCCCUGGGAC